rfam:Gossypium raimondii chromosome 12, whole genome shotgun sequence.
AAUCCAUGAUGAGGGCAUCUUCGUAAUAGUUAUUUAAACCUCUCCCACGCCUUAUACAAGGACUCAUCAACCAACUAUUGGAAGGUAGUAAUCUCAUUCCUCAACUU